CACCUGCUUGUUUUGCGGGUGCCUAGAGCUGGCCCCGCCCACUGCUAAAUUUAAAAUACUUUGCUUAAAGUUUGGUUAGUAUGUUACUGGUCCACAUGGGAGGAAAGUUAAGCACCUGUGUAUAUGCUUUCUAUGAUUGGGGCCUUAGUGUGGAAAAUCCAACCCCUUGUCAUUAAUGUUGUAUAUCUGAAGAUUAAUUCUUCUAUUUUGUGAUCAAAAUUUAGGAGCAGACUCUUUCAGAAAGAAUUUUCUCUGUUUAGAUAAUUACUUGGACCUAACUGGAAUUGAGAAAUUUAUUGAAAAUGGAUAUAUCAAGGUGUGGAGUAAAUCUUGUGGCAUGAAAAAAUCAGCUAUAACAUUUCCCUUUAUCAUUCAAAAAUAGAGCAGGAAGCAAUCACCAAAGAUGGUAUAUCUCCUUUGCAAAUACUAGGGGGAAGCAAAACAUUUCAAUAGAACGGAUUUCCAUAGAUUUCUUAGGCCUGUUCCUGCAUUGCCUUUUCUCCUUAGAAAAGAACAGUAGUUGGUACUGAGGAGGGGACAUAGGCAGGGCCAGUGAAACCUCCAUUGGGUUGAAAUCUACAGGAAAACAGAAGACAUUUUGGCACUCCAUUUCAAUAUGGUGAUCUCCUUCGCCUCCUAACUCACUCCAGAUGCUUACAGCCAGUCUUUUCCGUGCUGUGUUGCUAUUGGCUGACUAUUUGCCAGCUCAAGUAUUCUUUAGCUGCUUCAGAUUGUUUAAAUGUGGUGGUGGUUUUUCAUAAAGUAGGUGGCUGUUGCUGAGAUAUGACACCACAGUACAGUUUUGUACAGAGCUUAGACUGAAUGAAAGGGAUGUGGAGCUGACUUUCAUCCGACCUGGAGCACAGAACAAAGAAAUCCUCUUUGGCCCAGAGAAGCUGCAGCAGUGUGUCUGUUUUAUCACACUGGACAUGGACUUGGAAGUAACCCUGGAACUCCCACUAAAGGGGCUGGCAGACAUCAGAAAUAAGGAGACAACAUACUUGCUUUCCUGGGGGCGAAUGGAGGGGGAGUGGAAAAAUGAGUCCUUAUCGCUUGCCUACUCAGCAACCCCUCAAUCUAUGAAGAAGUAUUUUGGGGAUCUUCAAUAGAAAUUAUUCUUCUGGCUGAAGUGAAAAUGAUAAGGCAAAAGUUAGCAACAAAAGUGAUGGAGCUUAGGAGAAAAUGGAAGAAAAGCAUCUUCCCAUCCCCCAUGAAGUGGAGACAAGAUCCAUUCUGAAAUGGUUAGACAGGGGAUGAUAGACAAAACCAGGAAGUUCCAGGAUUUUUUAAAAGAGAAAAAGGUGAAUGAGGUAAUAUCUUUUAUUGGACCAAAUUCUGUUGGUGAGAGAGACAAGCUUCUGAGCUUUCACAGAGCUCUUUUUAAACUGCCAAAAAAUAAAAAGCUAUUACCAUGGUAAAACCUACAUUUCUAAUUCUACCCUGAGAUACAGGGCAAAGCUCCCUACUCAUCCUGAAAUCAAUUGGAGCCCCCUGACAAAUUUUGCUCUAAACAUCAUCAAUUAAAUCAAUCAGUCAAAUCAAUGAGUGAAAGUGAAUGAGUGUAUUAUCCUUAGAUAUGUGGGGAGGACUGUUGUGUGACCAUUUUGUCAUGUUCCUUUCUGCUAUUAAAAAGCUGUAUGGGAAGGUGUAAGAUUCAGCUAGACGUAUGUAACUUGUGAAGAACUUUGAGAUGCUUUAGAUUUAAAGCCACUAGUAUAGACAUACAACUAGGUUAUUUUUACUCCCUUUUGUUUUGAUCAUAUUGUAUUGCUCAGGCCAUAUAAAGUAACUGAACUCUGGUCUUAACUGGCCAACUGAGAAUUUGCUUAUCAUAGGGGAGUUGUCGGUUGGCUUAAAAGUAGCAUAUGUAGCUAUUAUCCCAACUGUCCAGUUUCUCCAUCUCUCUCUUUAUGAAAUUCUAUGGUUCUCUAAAAACUGUUCUGAGAAAUUUAAUUGACACACAGCAUUGCAUCCUGAUUUCAUGAUCCAGAUCAGCAACUGUCAUGCAAGUGUAGUUUGCAUAACUAUUGGCCAGUGUCUUGCCUUGCUCUUGUCUUGUUUGCCUGAAAUCAAAUGUUUCAUAUACCACUUUUCUCAGAGACAGAGAAGAGGGUUCAAUUGGAACAUUAAUGGCUUUUCACAAGGGGAUCUUUGUGGCUGCCCGGUGUGUGGUUGGGCAGUGAAUCACAAAUAUCAUUUACUCCCUCACCCACUAAGUAUAGCAGAAGUGCAACUUCUUAGCUUUAGACUUUGAUUUUCAAGAACAUUUAAUGGGUUUGAAUGUUCUUGUGCUUCUCCAGUUCUGUCAUAAUUGAGCAACUGUGCAGUUGUCAUGGGUAUUAGAAGCCUGGAAAGCAACUGAA